AGCCUGAUCCAGCCAUGCCGCGUGUGUGAAGAAGGUCUUCGGAUUGUAAAGCACUUUAAGUUGGGAGGAAGGGCAUUAACCUAAUACGUUAGUGUUUUGACGUUACCGACAGAAUAAGCACCGGCUAACUCUGUGCCAGCAGCCGCGGUAAUACGA
rnacentral:rRNA from 1 species